rnacentral:rRNA from 1 species
AGAGUUUGAUCAUGGCUCAGAUUGAACGCUGGCGGCAUGCCUAACACAUGCAAGUCGAACGGCAACAUGGUCUAGCUUGCUAGACUGAUGGCGAGUGGCGAACGGGUGAGUAACGCGUAGGAAUAUACCUUAAAGUGGGGGACAACUUGGGGAAACUCAAGCUAAUACCGCAUAAUCUCUGAGGAGAGAAGCUGGGGACCUUCGGGCCUGGCGCUUUAAGAUUAGCCUGCGUCCGAUUAGCUAGUUGGUAGGGUAAAGGCCUACCAAGGCGACGAUCGGUAGCUGGUCUGAGAGGAUGGCCAGCCACACUGGGACUGAGACACGGCCCAGACUCCUACGGGAGGCAGCAGUGGGGAAUAUUGGACAAUGGGGGCAACCCUGAUCCAGCAAUGCCGCGUGUGUGAAGAAGGCCUGAGGGUUGUAAAGCACUUUCAGUGGGGAGGAGGAUUGUUUGGUUAAGAGCUGGGCAAUUGGACGUUACCCACAGAAGAAGCACCGGCUAACUCCGUGCCAGCAGCCGCGGUA